rnacentral:SRP_RNA from 1 species
GCUGAGCCUAGUAGCUUGGGCUUGUCACUCGAGCGAGAGCUAUGAGUUGGUUGGAGUUGGUCUUUGUCUAAAUGGUCCUUGGUGUAGAAGAUCAGCAUGAGAUGGUUAGUCCAUCAACACCCAGUUGACCACUUACAGCAACAACUAAUUUU